GCGGGGCUUCGGCCCCGUGGAAACUGGCGCACGGGUGAGUAACGCGUGGGAAUCUACCCCGGGGUGGGGAAUAACCGCUGGAAACGGCGGCUAAUACCGCAUACGCCUUGCGAGGGAAAGCUUUAGCGCCCUGGGACGAGCCCGCGUCGGAUUAGCUUGUUGGUGAGGUAACGGCUCACCAAGGCUUCGAUCCGUAGCUGGUCUGAGAGGAUGAUCAGCCACACUGGGACCGAGACACGGCCCAGACUCCUACGGGAGGCAGCAGUGGGGAAUAUUGGACAAUGGGGGCAACCCUGAUCCAGCCAUGCCGCGUGCGUGAAGAAGGCCUUAGGGUUGUAAAGCGCUUUCGGCGGGGAAGAUGAUGACGGUACCCGCAGAAGAAGCUCCGGCUAACUCCGUGCCAGCAGCCGCGGUAAUACGGAGGGGGCUAGCGUUGUUCGGAAUUACUGGGCGUAAAGGGCGCGUAGGCGGAUUGUCAAGUCAGAGGUGAAAGCCCUGGGCUCAACCUGGGAACUGCCUUUGAAACUAACGGUCUAGAGUCCGAGAGAGGAUGGCGGAAUUCCCAGUGUAGAGGUGAAAUUCGUAGAUAUUGGGAAGAACACCAG
rnacentral:rRNA from 1 species